AUUGAACGCUGGCGGCAUGCUUUACACAUGCAAGUCGAACGGGUGUAGCAAUACACUAGUGGCGAACGGGUGAGUAAUGCAUCGGAACGUACCGUGUAGUGGGGGAUAACCCGGCGAAAGUCGGAUUAAUACCGCAUGAGAUCUACGGAUGAAAGCAGGGGAUCGUAAGACCUUGCGCUAUAUGAGCGGCCGAUGACGGAUUAGCUAGUUGGUGGGGUAAAGGCCCAACAAGGGGACGAUCCGUAGCGGGUCUGAGGGGAUGAUCCGCCACACUGGGACUGAGACACGGCCCAGACUCCUACGGGAGGCAGCAGUGGGGAAUUUUGGACAAUGGGCGCAAGCCUGAUCCAGCCAUGCCGCGUGAGUGAAGAAGGCCUUCGGGUUGUAAAGCUCUUUUGUCCGGGAGCAAACCUUCGUGGCUAAUAUCCACGGAGCUGAGAGUACCGGAAGAAUAAGCACCGGCUAACUACGUGCCAGCCGCCGCGGUAAGAC
rnacentral:rRNA from 1 species